UACGUAGGGGGCAAGCGUUGUCCGGAAUCAUUGGGCGUAAAGCGCGCGUAGGCGGCCCGGUAAGUCCGCUGUAAAAGUCCAGGGCUCAACCCUGGAAAGCCGGUGGAUACUGUCGGGCUAGAGUCCGGAAGAGGCGAGUGGAAUUCCAGGUGUAGCGGUGAAAUGCGUAGAUAUCUGGAGGAACACCGGUGGCGAAGGCGGCAUCCUGGACCAACACUGACGCUGAGUGAGCGAAAGCCAGGGGAGCAAACGGG
rnacentral:rRNA from 1 species